AAACCAUUUCAAUCAAAUAUGAAUAUUACAAUACUCAUUAUCUUGUGCUGUCGAAUAUAACUUACAGAAUAAAGAAAAUAAUAGUAUUCUUUGUUAAUGAAAUAGUGAGAAUUAUCACUGAUCCAGUUAUAUAACAACGGCCUGGGACGCUAAUUUAGGAGGAAAUUCAUGUAGAUCUAGAAUUAUUCAGAGUAAUGCAGAUUUUGUGAAAGCACAGAAAAUCUAAUUGUUUGCACAUUUGGACAUAUAUGUGAUGAGAAAAUUGGAAAUUUGGGGACGAUGAGAAAUUGUGAUGUUAGGUGGAUAGAGGAAUUUAAACAAAGAUUAAUAAUUACUAACGAUAAACGAU